rnacentral:lncRNA from 1 species
UUCAAACUCAUUCCUCCACUGUGCUCUCUGAAUCCUUUUAAAAGGUCUUGAAAGACUCACCUAAGAAUGUCUCACAGUGUGUUUCCCCUGCACGCAACCGUACACUUGGUCUGUUGGUUGUAAAUUCCUUAGUGCAGAGCUGUAUAAAGAACAUAACAUGUUUGCGGACACCAUGGAGACAACGUGUAAAUAAUCCUACAAUUCUACCUUCAUGUCAGCAACGGCUUUUCAGAGACGAGCUCAGGUCCAAGAUCUGAAGUUUGACUCCACUAAGUCACACCAAAGAAGCUUCCAGAAAAAGCCCCCUUCCCCUCUCCAUCAACUCUUUCAAGUUUGAGGCUCUGCAUUCUGGCUACUCUCCUUUCAGACAAAGACAACUGCAAGCAGCACCCAUACUCCAGAACUCGCUGAGCAAAGGGCCCAAGAACAACCUGAUGUGCCUCCUUGAACCUUGCAAGCUCGAUAUGUGAGGGAAAGGAGCUGUGUCCCCCAUCUGGCAUUUUUUACAGGGGAACCCUACCAGUACCUCCACCACUGUCCAUGGACACCUGCAAGGGAGGAGUCUCACACAACAUGGAGGAGGAUUUUGUGGAUGAGGAAGAGGAGGAGGAUGAUGCCCAGCAGGCAAGUGGAGAAUCCNCUCACACAACAUGGAGGAGGAUUUUGUGGAUGAGGAAGAGGAGGAGGACGAUGCCCAGCAGGCAAGUGGAGAAUCCAUUCUCCCCGGUAGCCAGGACCCUUUCAUCACCCUCCCAAGGUGGGUUUCCAGACCCUGAAGGUGGAGAAGACACCUUUGGAGCAAAUGUUCCUAUGCUCCCUGUAUCAUCUCUAUCCCUGAGGUUAUUGCUGAUUAGAAGGCGAAAAACACACUCAUGAUGACAUGUUUUCAGAGUUCAUGCAGUCCUCCCGCACUGAUAGGGCACAGCUGAAUGCAUGGAGGUAUUCAGUAAGUGUGAUCAGAACAUGCAGGAGGAGAUGCUGAGGCUAAUGGAGGAGCAAACAGACAUGAUCAGGAAUAUGGUGGAGCUGCAGGAAAGGCAACAAGAGCACAGACAGCUGCUGCAUCCAUUGUAUAACGGCCUGCCCUCGUCCCCAAGUUCCAUAUUCUCCUCACCCAGGUGCUCAAGAAUGUUGGGGUGGGGGAGGCUCUGGGCACCCAGCCUCUCCACUCCAGAGGAUGGCCCAUUCAACCAGUUUUGAUUUGUAGUGUGGCUACAUUAAGCAAUGUGGCCUUGCCUUCCCUCCUCCCCCGCCCCACCUGGGCUACCUUGUCAGUGAUCUCACUUUUUUAAAAAUAAAGACUGCAUGGAUUCAAAACA